UCAUUAUUAAAGGGUUCCGAGCACAUUAGGGUUGUUUUUCUGUGUGGAACAUGGCGUUGGCAGGUACAAUGUGUCUACAUGCUGUGACAGCCUUCUUCGGUAAUUAACAUCACACAUUAAUUCAUUUCAACAACCCCAUUAUCUAUUAAUUCACAACAUCAUUCUCCCAUCUAUCGCAUUCCCUAUUGGGCCUCAAUCUAAAUAACAGCUUUCUCACGGCGCUGCCCUCGUGUAGCAAGGCGCGUCUCUACGAGAAACUUUACGACCUUCACAUAAUAAAAGAUGUAUUUUCUAUCUUGCUUUUUUUUGAUUCUAUGCACAUGUUGCUCCAAGAAUGUGUUCACCAUUUUCUUUGUGUCUGACGUUCGUUGUGAUGGAAAACGUCUUACACUUGAGUGCACUCGACAACAAACAAACAAACUGCAACGGAGCGCACACCCCAUUUGUCAGGCGAGUGGACUGAACGUGUGUAAAUGUUUUAAUACUUGCGUGUGGAUAUUAAUGGAAACAAAUAAAUGUUUAUUGCCGAGCUUCCGUGGUUUUCAUUUCUCAGAUGUGCGUGUUUGUUGCUGUGCGGUGGAAUCUGUGCUCGUGCUGCUGCGACAAACGAGUUGAUUAUCUGAUCACUGUUUCCUUUAAUAAAAAAAAUCUGCAAAACCACAGAACAGCUUAAUAUAAGUUACAAUCCACAACACAGUUGUCAAUCACGUCAUAACAAAAGGAUUCAAAGUAAUAAUAAAGCUUUUAAAAUAAUCCAUCAGGGUGGACACAAACUUUCCUCCCGUCAACAAGUUAAAAUAUUUACAAAAACAAAAGCAGAAACUUGAAAUGAAGCCUAUUUGUCAAACUUGACCCGUUUUGUAUUUUACAGUGUAUGAAAUAAACCACGGUUUUGCCGUUUCAAACGCUGUGAAAGUCCACAGAAAACUUUUCGCUCAACGUGUUUGCGCUGAUCUGCAUGAAGCCGCCCUGCGUUUCUGGGACGAUCCUCCAGAGGUGCGAGUUUGUGAGCCUCAGUGGGAUUAUUCUGAAAGCUCCUCCAGCGGGACGACGGUGUAUUCUGACGCGUGUCCGUUCUCCUUGGGCCCCUCUUUGUGCAGGAACGUCUCCAUCUCCAGCUCCCUCCGCUGGUCUGACG
ensembl:lncRNA